GGAGGCAGCAGUGGGGAAUAUUGCACAAUGGGCGCAAGCCUGAUGCAGCCAUGCCGCGUGUAUGAAGAAGGCCUUCGGGUUGUAAAGUACUUUCAGCGGGGAGGAAGGCGAUAAGGUUAAUAACCUUGUCGAUUGACGUUACCCGCAGAAGAAGCACCGGCUAACUCCGUGCCAGCAGCCGCGGUAAUACGGAGGGUGCAAGCGUUAAUCGGAAUUACUGGGC
rnacentral:rRNA from 1 species